AGAGUUUGAUUCUGGCUCAGAACGAACGCUGGCGGCAGGUCUUAGGCAUGCAAGUCGAACGGAUGACAAGGGAGCUUGCUUCCUUGAAGUCAGUGGCGCACGAGUGAGUAACGCGUGGGAAACUGCCCUUCACUGGGGAAUAACGUUUGGAAACGAACGCUAAUACCGCAUACGCCCGCAAGGGGAAAGAUUUAUCGGUGAUGGAUGUGCCCGCGUUGGAUUAGCUAGUUGGUGGGGUAAUGGCCUACCAAGGCGAUGAUCCAUAGCUGGUCUGAGAGGACGAUCAGCCACGCUGGAACUGAGACACGGUCCAGACUCCUACGGGAGGCAGCAGCUAAGAAUAUUGGGCAAUGGAGGAAACUCUGACCCAGCCCAUGCCGCGUGAAUGAAGAAGGCCUUCGGGUUGUAAAGUUCUUUUAGUCAUGAAGAUGAUGACAGUAGUGACAGAAAAAGCACCGGCUAACUUCGUGCCAGCAGCGGC
rnacentral:rRNA from 1 species